UCCAUUAAGGGAGGAACGUGGAAGGGGGAAAUAGACGGAAGCAGGAAUUCUCACCUGGGGCGGCGAGUACGCCCGGAGGCUGGAACCCAGACACCCCUCCGGCUGGACGCUCCCGCAACUUUUCUCCUCCCAACCCCCACCGCCCAGGAAAGGGAUGUCGCUUCGGACGCCCCGGAAGCUUGUGCCACCGAGUCCCCUAAGCAAGGCCUCGGUGACGGCUAGAGGCGGUGGAAAACUACGGGGCAAAGAAUUCGGCACUGAAACCAACUGGACCGCGUUCGGAAGACAGAAGUCAACCAGCCGGCCGCCCGGAAAAAGAACUCAAACGGGAAAUUAAGAGGUGGAGGGGGAAAGAGUUCUUCAGAUCGGUCAGUGCCCAACUUCCUUAGAAGCCAGGUGAGCAGCGAGACUCGCACCGCCCCUGCCUCCUCCACCCAGCCCGGCUCACUCCGGGCCUAGGCAGCCGCCCGAGACCUCACUUACCCUCGGCGCCUGGCGGGUGCUUUGGCCUCGGGCCGCCUCCGCCUCCCCCGCUCCCAACGGCCCACGGGCGGGCGCGGGAGCCCCGCGCGGGAGAACAGUGCCGACCGGUGCGCCCAGAGAGACGAGGGGGCUCUGCUGCCGUCUCCGCCAGCGGCUCCGCUUCGGUAAAUAGGAAGCCCGGUCGAGGAGGGGGGGGGGGAGGAGCGGCGGCUCCGCAACUUCCCUCCCCAGCUUAGGCGCGCCGGCCGGGCAAAGCCUAGGCCUCCCUGACGGCCGCCGCCGGUGCCGAGCCUGCUACGUGCCCCCGCUGGGCCGCCGCCGCCUCCUGCGCCGCCGCCUCCGCCGGUGAAUGGUCAGCGCUGGAGUUUGAACAGGGCCCUGAACCAUCUCAACGCCAUUUGCGCUCCCGGCCCCCACCUCCUUCCUCCAACAGCCGCUCGCUCCGUCACUCCGCUUCCCACAGGCCCCGCGCGGCCACCCGACCCCGCAGCCAAUCGUACGGCCGCUUACUCAAACCGCCGCGCAGGCGCCGCGCCCCGCACGCACCGGCUACCACCAUUGGUCGGGUCGCGAAGCCCGACGGGAGUUGUAGUUCUCUCCCGCGAGGUCCUGGUGUCUGAAGCCGGGUUCCGGAGCAGAGUUCUGGCUGCGGGCCUGAGUUCUGGCUGCGGGCCUACUGGACCUCACCGGCUCGGGAGCCAGUUCUAGUUCCUGGCCACGCGACAAGACGCAGGUGCGGCGCGGGAAGGCACGGGGCCCAGUGCAGGCAGCUGUGUCAAUCGUUUCCCCUCCAGGGACCCUCGGGUGUCUGGGGACAGUGGAUUGUGCAGCUGCGCCGAGUCUGCUGGGCCACCGCCCGGACCUUGGAGGCAGGGAGCUUGGGGCCGCCCUUGACCCAGUCUGGUGGUGCGAGCGGGCCUACGCAGACUACGCCUGUGAAAACUGGAAAGAGGGAAUAAAUAAACCGAGGAUGUUCUUCGUUGUUGGAGCUGCGGGAUGUGUACACACACACGCUGUCCUACCAGUAUUUAUAUCUAAAGUUGUUCAUAAUAAAGUUCUUUUGUUUGGUUGA